GGGGGGGAAUGCAUGAGGGACGUGCCCUACCACAUGCAAUCGAAUGAAAAGAAUUAAUUAUUGUUUUCAUGGGGACCGGGUGAGUAACACAUAAGAAUCAGCUUUUAGAUAAGGCAUAAAAGAGUAAUAUCUUGGUAAUUCCUUAUAUGCGCAGCAGUGCUUAAAAAGGGGAGUCCCGUCUAAAAACGAGCUUAUGCCUGAUUAGCUAGUUGGCGAGUUAAAAGCUCACCAAGGCGAAGAUCAGUAGCUGGCCUGAGAGGGCGGCCAGCCACAUUGGGACUGAGACACGGCCCAAACUCCUACGAGAGGCAGCAGUGGGGAAUCUUCUGCAAUGGGCGCAAGCCUGACAGAGCGGCGUCGUGUGAAGGAAGAAGGCCUGAAAUAGGUUGUAAACUUCUUUUACUGAAUAAUGAAUAAUGACAACGCAAUAAAAAAGUAUCGGCUAACUCCGUGCCAGCAGCCGCGGUAAUACGGGGGAUGCAAGCGUUAUCCGGAAUCACUGGGCGUAAAGCGUCUGUAGGUGGUUUAGUGUGUUCUUAGUUAAAUUCUGAAGCCUAACUUCAUGAAAAGUAAGAAAACUAUUAGACUUGAGUACGAUAGGGGUAAGAGGAAUUCUUCGAGAAGUAGUGAAAUGCGAAGAUACGAAGGAGAAGAUCAUAAGCGAAGGCUUCUUACUGGGUCGUAACUGACACUGAGAGACGAAAGCUAGGGGAGCGAAUGGGAUUAGAUACCCCAGUAGUCCUAGCUGUAACGAUGGAUAUUCGGUGCCGGAAAUUUUAUUAGAACAUUUCGGUACCCUAGCUAACGCGUUAAAUAUCCCGCCUGAGGAGUACGCUCGCAAGGAGAACUCAAAUGAAUUGACAGAAGGGC
rnacentral:rRNA from 1 species